rnacentral:rRNA from 1 species
AUUGAACGCUGGCGGCAUGCCUUAUACAUGCAAGUCGAACGGUAACGCGGGGCAACCUGGCGACGAGUGGCGAACGGGUGAGUAACGCAUCGGAGCGUACCCAGUAGUGGGGGAUAGCCCGGCGAAAGCCGGAUUAAUACCGCAUACGACCUACGGGUGAAAGCGGGGGAUCGCAAGACCGCGCGCUAUUGGAGCGGCCGAUGUCAGAUUAGGUAGGUGGUGGGGUAAAGGCCUACCAAGCCUACGAUCUGUAGCUGGUCUGAGAGGACGACCAGCCACACUGGGACUGAGACACGGCCCAGACUCCUACGGGAGGCAGCAGUGGGGAAUUUUGGACAAUGGGCGCAAGCCUGAUCCAGCCAUGCCGCGUGCGGGAAGAAGGCCUUCGGGUUGUAAACCGCUUUUGUCAGGGAAGAAACGCUCUGGGCUAAUACCCCGGGGUAAUGACGGUCCUGAAGAAUAAGCACCGGCUAACUACGUGCCAGCAGCCGCCGUAAAAC